CGCACCGAGGGGUGGCCGGCAGACAAAAAGGAAAGAGAGCCAAUAUCAGAAGGGACGGAGUUUGUCAAGUGAGCUUCACACGCCAGGUCAGGAAGGCUAUGGGUCAGAGCGAGGGAUCCUUCGGAAAUGAGUCCUAGCAAAAUGGACAGGGUAUGGAAGGUGAGCUGUAUCAUCACUUCUGGAGCCCAGGGUCUCUUCCCUUUGUUCCCUGAGACCCGGACGCCCGUUCUUGCUGGUAAAAAGAUGGCAAGGGCAUCUGCAGAGGGAGCUACUUGGGACCAAGAUUCUUAGA